AUUUUAAGAGGUUUUAUUUGUGAGGUGCCAGUGGAAACUGCACAACUUAAGGAUAAGUGGGAUGAUGUUGUUGAAGAAGCGGGGUUCGAGUCAAGCCAUCGGCUGAUGAAUGAGCCAUCACCUUUUAUGGCGAGAGUUAUGUGGUUUCUGUUCUUGAGAAAGAGAAUGAGCUAUCGAGUUUCUUGUUCCAGAAAUUGGAGGCCGUGGAGUAGUACUGGUGGUGAUUUUUUUCAGGGUGUUUGAGCGGUUUGUCUGUGGUGAAGUAUUUCUUGUACCAUAGAGCCAAUAGUUGAAACGGAGAGUCUUGGGGUGAAUCGAGGCAGUUGGGAUGUCCAGUUAUGGGGCAGUAUGAGGUCCUGAAUGAUUAAAGGAAGUCAUGAGGAUAAGUGGGUUUGUCUGUGGUGAAGUAUUUCUUGUACCAUAGAGCCAAUAGUUGAAACGGAGAGUCUUGGGGUGAAUCGAGGCAGUUGGGAUGUCCAGUUAUGGGGCAGUAUGAGGUCCUGAAUGAUUAAAGGAAGUCAUGAGGAUAAGUGAUGAGGGCUUCGUCUGUGAUUCGGAGUAUUUGGUAUUGCUAGGUCAUCAAGCGUUGCGUAGCUCAAUCAGAGAAUAAAUGUGAUGUUAUUAAUGGAAGUAGUCUGUGGAUGGAUUGAAAGUGCGCCCAUUGGCGAUGGUUCGAACCCUAAGUGGGGGAGAACCAGGUAAUUGCUGAAGGGAUUUGAGAUUGUGCAUAGACAGUUAGAGGACCGGUUACAGUGAUUAUGUGGCAGAUUCAUGGGUUCAAGGCUAAAUUUGUGGAUAGGCUGAGGUGCAAGUGAGAUGAUGCCUGUUGUGCAUGAUCAGGAAGGAAUGAGUGAUUCUAUGGCAGGUGGCCGUUGGUCAGAGAGGUUGUUCGGGUCAGAAUUUCAGUGUUUUAAACAAGACGAGACAGUUAAGUCCUUGAGUUCACGAUCACGGUGUGGCGUCUACGUGAAAAUGAGAUUAUGAAGAGGUAAGGGUUGGUGCGGUAAGACUGCGGGGAGGCGUGGUUCAGUGGCUUAGAGCAGAGGUUGUGAUGAUGCUAUGGGGUGCCGUAGUAUUCAAGGAUCAGAGAGAGGUUGUAGUGAUGCUACGGGGAGCCGUAGUACUCACGGAUCGGAGAUAGGUUGUAGUGAUGCUACGGGGAGCCGUAGUAUUCACGGAUCAAAGAGGUUGGGG
rnacentral:lncRNA from 1 species